rnacentral:rRNA from 1 species
AAAUGAAUUGACGGGGACCCGCACAAGCAGUGGAGUAUGUGGUUUAAUUCGAAGCAACGCGAAGAACCUUACCAGGCCUUGACAUCCCCCUGAAUACGCUGGAGACAGCGUAGGCUCGCAAGGGACAGGGGAGACAGGUGGUGCAUGGUUGUCGUCAGCUCGUGUCGUGAGAUGUUGGGUUAAGUCCCGCAACGAGCGCAACCCUUGGUUCCAGUUGCCAGCACCUGGGGUGGGCACUCUGGAGCGACUGCCGGUGACAAACCGGAGGAAGGCGGGGAUGACGUCAAAUCAUCAUGCCCCUUAUGGCCUGGGCUACACACGUACUACAAUGGCCGCUACAGAGGGCAGCGAAGGGGCGACCCGGAGCCAAUCCCAAAAAAGCGGUCUCAGUUCGGAUUGCAGGCUGCAACUCGCCUGCAUGAAGUCGGAAUUGCUAGUAAUCGCGGAUCAGCAUGCCGCGGUGAAUACGUUCCCGGGUCUUGUACACACCGCCCGU